CCUACGGGUGGCAGCAGUGGGGAAUAUUGGGCAAUGGGCGAAAGCCUGACCCAGCAACGCCGCGUGAAGGAAGAAGGCUUUCGGGUUGUAAACUUCUUUUGACAGGGAAGAGCAGAAGACGGUACCUGUCGAAUAAGCCACGGCUAACUACGUGCCAGCAGCCGCGGUAAUACGUAGGUGGCAAGCGUUAUCCGGAUUUACUGGGUGUAAAGGGAGCGUAGACGGCGAUGCAAGGCUGAAGUGAAAGGCGGGGGGCGAACCUCCGGACUGAUUUGGAAACUGUAUGGCUGGAGUGCAGGAGAGGGAAGUGGAAGUCCGAGGGGAGCGGUGAAAUGCGUAGAUAUUAGGAGGAACACCAGUGGCGAAGGCGGCUUACUGGACUGUAACUGACGUUGAGGCUCGAAAGCGUGGGGAGCAAACAGGAUUAGAUACCCGGGUAGUC
rnacentral:rRNA from 1 species